UCAUUGUCUGCACAUAAGAAACCAGCACAACAUAUUUCAAGUGCUGAAUAUAAAGAAAUGCCAAGCUAGAAUUCCAUCAUCAAUAAAAAUAUCCUGCAAGAAUGAAGGGGAUAAACCAGGCACAGAAAUACAACUACUGCAUAUUCUCACUUAAUGAAGAGGACAUGGAGGCAUUUUCAGAUGAAGAGAAACUAACAGGAUUUGUCAGCAGACUUACUCUAAAUAAAUGGCUACAGGAAAUACUCUAAAGGAAAUGAUAAAAGAAGAAACUUUGUAACAUCGAGAAAGAAGGAAGAACACCAGUAAACAAAAAUAUGGGUAAAUAAAAUUUUCUUAUCUUCUUUAGUUUUCUAUAUUAUCUUUGAUGUUUGAAACAAAAAUUGUAACACUAUCUGAUGUGGUUCUAAAUGUAUGUACAGGAAAUACUCAAGCUAACUAUAUCAUAAGUGGGGGAGGGCAAAAGAACAUAAAGGAAAGUAAGGUUUCUGUACUUCACUCAAACUGGUAAAUGAAAAACUGUCAGGCUGUGAUAAAUUACUUAUAUUUAAUGUGAUACCUAGAACAACUGCUAAAAAAAAAAACUGUGCAAAGAGAUACACUCAAAAUGCUAUGGAAAAAUAAAAAUGAAAUUUAAAAAAUGUUCAAGAAAGUCACAGGGAGGUAGGAAAAACCAAACACAAAAAUGGAAAACAAAGAGGAUAAAUAGAAAACAAAAAAGAAAAUGGCAGAAUUAAACUCUAACACAUCAUUAAUUGCAUUAACUAUAAAUGGUCUAAAUAUACAAAAUAAAAGACAGAGAUUGGCAGCGUUGUUUAACAAACAUGACUCAACUAUAUUCCAUCUGAAGGAAACUCACUUCAAAUAGAAUUAUAAAUGUAUGAUAAAGGAUAUAUUAUGCAAAUAUUAAUCUAAAGAAAACAAGAGUGACUAUAAUGGUAGAUAAAGUACACUUCAGAACAAAGACAAUUAUCAGAGAUAGAGAUAUUAUAUAAUGAUAAAAGGGUCAAUCUAUUAAGAAUAGCAAAUUUAUUUAUUUAUUUAUUUAAUUUU
rnacentral:lncRNA from 1 species